AAUUUAUACAUACACAUAUCAAAUCCCUAAAUUGAAAACCAAAUCCCUAAACUGAAAAUCCCAAAUCCCUAAACUGAAAAUCAAAUCCAUAGCAAAACUCACACAACCAACAAAAUACAUAAUCAAAUCUUGAUACCAUACUUAUCCAACCAACCAAAUCUAUAACCAGAUUCACAAAGAAAACAAAAUCCAUAACCACGAAAACUUGCUACAGAAAAAGGAGUGUGAUUUGUGUUUACCUCAACAAAAUCUGAGCAAGAGUUAGAUCUAGAGGAGAGAAGUGGGCGCAGCGAUCUUACAAGAGAAGCGGUGGACAGGAGAGAGAAGCCGUAGAGAUGAGAGAGAAGCGGAUAAGCAGUAGAAAGGAGAGAGAAGCAGAGAAGCCGUAGGUCUGUUAUGUCCGAGAGCUGCUUCCCGUUUUUUUUUAAGUGCACAAUGUUCUCCGCAUUGCUUCUUCAUGUUUUUAGAAACUCCCUUGUUUUCACAAAACUGAUACUCAUUGAACUCAGUUUUAUGAAAACAUUUCCAUAAAACAGGUUCCAAGUAGACAAAAAAAUGAACGAACUGUUUUUUGUAACUCCCAAAACAGAAAACUGUUUUGGGAGAACCAUUCCAAGCAGGGCCUUAAAAUUGGCGGCUUUCCAAGCGUGCGAAAUUCCUAAUAUUCCUCCCAAAUUCGCAUCGAAACCCUAAUCCUAGCUCUAAGCCCAAAUUUCUCGAGUUUCACCUUCAGAUCAAGGAAAAUAACCAGCAUGGCGGAUUAGUCUAAGCUCCCAAAUUCGCACACAUCGAUCCUCAACCAAAAUCCACACGAAACCCUAGUCCAAACCAGAUUGAGGAAAAUAACCCAUGUUCAAGAUUAUCAUCUUUUUUUGGGAUACCUGGGUGUGCUUUUUUUGGGAUACACUAUUUGGUUUACAUGCAGGGCUGGAAUAAGCUUUCAUUUAUGAGUUUUACUUAAAUGAUGCUUAAGGAUUAUCUAGUAAAAGAUGUGGACUGCAUUUAAAGCACGAUGAACAGGAUUUCGAUCCGUGCUACUACUAAACCAAGUUUGUAGGUCCUGCCAACUUUUGCUGCUCUAUUUUCCCAUUGACCUGAAUUUCAAAUUUCUCAGCUACCACGGUUGCGUUUUGUAUUCAUGUAUCUUGAAAGGGGUUAAGAUUUGAUCCACGUCUUUUAUUGCACGGACAACAAUACAUAGAAAUUUACAAGGCACUUCCUUCUAGUGGUUGUCCUAACAUCAUCAGACUUAAGUUGAGAGCGAGCUUCAGUCUUAUUAACUACCAGUUUUUUCUGAAAGAUUAAUGGCCUAAGACAAUUAAUGUUAUGUUUAGCUGCUUGGAGUCUUGCCUUGAAUGCUUUGGAGGGAAAGUUUUUGCAAUCUAAGCGUGAUGGGAAAUGCCUUGGUUGUGUUGGUAUCGAAACUUUUCUAAUCCUUGUACAGAUGGUAACAAUGAAGGGAACUUUGUAAUCUUUAAUGAAUAUAAAAUAAAUUUGGGAUCUAUUUGUUUGUGAUUAGUGGGAAGUAGAUGUAAAUUUUCAUUUUUAUAUGACUUGAACUCUUUUUCAUCUUGUAUCAUAUUGUUUGUAUAAGGCUUGGUGUGGAUAUAUAUACCUUUGGGUGGAUUUAUUGUUGUGUUUAGUUGUA